rnacentral:rRNA from 1 species
CAUGGGGCAGGGGUCAAAGGAGGAAUCCGGAUAAAGAUGGGCUCGCGUCCGAUUAGCUAGUUGGUGAGAUAACAGCCCACCAAGGCGACGAUCGGUAGCCGACCUGAGAGGGUGAUCGGCCACAUUGGAACUGAGAGACGGUCCAGACUCCUACGGGAGGCAGCAGUGGGGAAUAUUGGGCAAUGGGCGAAAGCCUGACCCAGCAACGCCGCGUGAGGGAAGAAGGGUUUCGGCUCGUAAACCUCUGUCCUAUGGGACGAAGGAAGUGACGGUACCAUAGGAGGAAGCCCCGGCUAACUACGUGCCAGCAGCCGCGGUAAUACGUAGGGGGCGAGCGUUGUCCGGAAUGAUUGGGCGUAAAGGGCGCGUAGGCGGCCUGCUAAGUCUGAAGUGAAAGUCCUGCUUUCAAGGUGGGAAGUGCUUUGGAUACUGGUGGGCUGGAGUGCAGGAGAGGAAAGCGGAAUUACCGGUGUAGCGGUGAAAUGCGUAGAGAUCGGUAGGAACACCAGUGGCGAAGGCGGCUUUCUGGACUGAAACUGACGCUGAGGCGCGAAAGCGUGGGGAGCAAACAGGAUUAGAUACCCUGGUAGUCCACGCGGUAAACGAUGAAUACGAGGUGUAGGAGGUAUCGACCCCUUCUGUGCCGCAG